AACGAACGCUGGCGGCAGGCUUAACACAUGCAAGUCGAGCGAGACCUUCGGGUCUAGCGGCGGACGGGUGAGUAACGCGUGGGAACGUGCCCUUCUCUACGGAAUAGCCCCGGGAAACUGGGAGUAAUACCGUAUACGCCCCUUGGGGGAAAGAUUUAUCGGAGAAGGAUCGGCCCGCGUUGGAUUAGGUAGUUGGUGGGGUAAUGGCCCACCAAGCCGACGAUCCAUAGCUGGUUUGAGAGGAUGAUCAGCCACACUGGGACUGAGACACGGCCCAGACUCCUACGGGAGGCAGCAGUGGGGAAUCUUAGACAAUGGGGGCAACCCUGAUCUAGCCAUGCCGCGUGAGUGAUGAAGGCCUUAGGGUCGUAAAGCUCUUUCAGCUGGGAAGAUAAUGACGGUACCAGCAGAAGAAGCCCCGGCUAACUCCGUGCCAGCCGCCGCGGUAA
rnacentral:rRNA from 1 species